rnacentral:sRNA from 1 species
GCUGGGUGUGGUGGUGCACACCUGUAAUCCCAGUGGUUUAGGGGGCUGAGGCAUGAGGAUAGCAAGUUCAAAACCAGCCUCAG